UACAGAGGGUGCAAACGUUGCUCGGAGUUACUGGGCGUAAAGCGCGCGCAGGCGGCUAUCCAAGUCAGUGGUGAAAGCCCGGAGCUCAACUCCGGAACUGCCAUUGAAACUGUUUAGCUUGAGGAUGAGAGAGGUGAGUGGAAUUCCCAGUGUAGAGGUGAAAUUCGUAGAUAUUGGGAAGAACACCGGUGGCGAAGGCGGCUCACUGGCUCAUUACUGACGCUCAGGCGCGAUAGCGUGGGGAUCAAACAGG
rnacentral:rRNA from 1 species